AGCCUUUUAGGUAGUAUAAUAAUUAUCCAUCCCUGUAAAAAGGAAGGGCUGAUUGAUUGGGCGGUAAAAAGGAAACACAAUUAACGUGAGAUUAUAUAUCUUGCUAGUACUCCUUCACGACUCAACAACUCAAUCCAGCCCAAUCCGCCCCCCUCCGAUUCCCAGCGGAGCGCAUGGCCACGGCGCGUCCCGGUGCCCCUCCGCCUCCCUGCCCCGAUGAACCAGCCGUGGGCGACGGCCCAAGCAGCAACAGUGGCCGUCGCUGGAGGGCUUCCUCCACGGCGUCCGCAAGGGGUAGUAAAUGGUGGUCGCUUUCCUGGCCGCUGGCGACCUCCUGGAGAACCUCCCCGAGCUGCUGUUGCCGGAGACAACUCCGUUCCCGCUGCCGUCAGCCACCUGCUCAACCUGUCGUUACCCGCAUGAUGUGCAAUGGCCGUGGCGUUUCUUUUGUGCUGGCUGGUGAAUGCAUCCAAGUGUCGAUGGUUCUGUUUAUAUUUUCCUCAUGUGUUCUUUAUUAGUUAACAAGAAUCAAUAGCACCACAUAAAGCUAAACUAAAGCUUCAGUUUCACAUUUUUAUUUUACUUGUUGACCUCUUAUGAUAUUUUUUUUGUUGUAUCUUCCUCUCAAUAAAUACUGAUCUUUUCGCUCUCAUGUGAAGAAAAGAUGGACAACAAACUCAAGAGGAGGUAUAGAAGAGGGAUCUCAAGGAUGAACUUGAACAGCGUCAAUGCGAGCAGUUCUCAUCCAAGGAUAAGUCAUAUGUUGUAGAGAAGAUCCGGCGAAAAAGUUCACGCCUGCUCUUAGAAGAUGACUCUGAUGUGGAGCCCAUAAGUGAUGAUGAAAGCGAUGACUGUGAUGACGAUGAUGAAACUGAGGCUCUAAUCGCAGAGCUAAAAAGGAUUGAGAAAGAAAGAGUUGAGGAUAUGCUUAGAAAGGACUGCUAGCAAGCAUAAGAAGAGGCUAAGAUUAAGGAGGCUGAGCUGAUUCGAGGAAACCAGUUUAUCAAUAUGAAUAACUCCUGAUCCUUCAAUGUGAAGAGAAGAACUAGGCUCGACACCAUCAGGAUUGAUUUCCACUGCAAGUUUCUGCAUAGGGUUCAUUUAUAGGUGAUUUGGAAUCUAGGUGGUGGUUGGCCACCUUCUGGUCAGCCGACGUGUUCACCCUGUGGAUUCAAAUUGAAGACCAAAACAAAAAGAGUUACAUGAGUAGAACUGAACUGAAGAUCUCAUUGUCAGGAGAGGUCGAGGACAGAAGCGAUGCAACAAAUUUGGAAAUUCUUUCAGAGCAAGUAGGCAGUUACCUGGAAAUUCAAUUCGAUUAAGUGGAUUGGACUAUUGAAAUAUUGUAGUCUUUCUAGAUAGCAAUUUCAACCAUUUGGCCAUGGUGUAAAUGAAUUCUGUUGGAACAUUGUGUAGGCAAUGAAGGCAGGGCGACCGGUGGAGCUUAAGAACGCAAAGGUGGACAUGUAAAUGCGCCUGGUGGCUGGGCAUGGUCAAGAGCCUGUUGUCAGAGCUUAGGUGACGGAGGCUACAUCUUGUCACUGAUGGAGUUGGAGCCGGGGACCAUGGCAAGGUGAGAAGAGGGUCUGCAUAGGAAGGAGGUGAUGCUUUUUCAUCUUGGCUCUGUGUUGGUGUUGUUGCUGGAUGAGUUGUCGUUAUUCUUGUAUAGACCUCGGUGGUGUUGCUUGUAAUCAGAACUAGCGCAUCAGCUCCGUGGUGAGGUGGUGGUUUUACUGUAUACUUGGCUUAGCGACACUUUGUUCUCUUUUUUGUACUGAUAUCUAAUGCAAAGUGUAUGCUAUUAGGAAUCA